CGGUGGGAGCUGUAGUUCUGGCGCGAACUAAACACAGUUUUCACCUCGAUAAACUGAACGGACGUCUUUCAUGACGACUCAGCACGGUCUUUAUUAUAAAUAGCAACGGAUUCAGUGAUAGCCUCACCCUUUGUUUGAUUUCAAAGUGUCAAGAGACGAAACUGUGCAACCGCACUUACUACAGAGACCAGCAUGCACCGCGACCAGAGACGUUUGUUGUGUAAGGAAACGAGCAGAGUCAUGACUGACAGUUCGAGCCUAGCGAUUAUUAUCAACUUUGCUUUGUGUUGGUGCUCUUCUGUUCUCUUAUAAUAUUACGUGUGACGUAUCACGUGUAACGUUUGGUCAUACAUAAAAUUUCACCAAGCGUUAUAAUCUGUGGCGAAUCUGCUUUUGUGUGAACAACAGUUGAAUACAACCGUACGAUGUCUCGUCAACACCAACAACAAACAUCUCUGGACGGAGUUCCUGGGAAGUUUAGCUGGAGAUACCAGGGUUGUCCGUCGGCUCUCAAGUGCCUAUAAAGGGAGAGGAGAACCUGGAGUAAACCUGUGCGCCUGAUGAGGGAGAAGCAUGAUGUACCUGAGAGCGUUCACAAGUCCCUCUACGCUGCUGACCGGCUGUUCUCUUAACACUCGGAUACACCCUUUCAUCUGGACACAAUGAAUCUCAUGCAGGUCUGGACUCACAUCAGACACAAACUUGAUGGUGGCAUCGCUGAGUGUCUUCAGCAUCGGCGUGGCUCCGGCGUAGAAAAGAGACAUGCGGUUGGCCAGCUCGUUGUUGACCUCGCCGGCGCUGUCAACCUGAAGAG